rnacentral:rRNA from 1 species
UGGGGAAUAUUGCACAAUGGACGGAAAUUUGAUGCAGCGACGCCGCGUGGAGGGUGUAGGCCUUCGGGUUGUGAACUCCUUUUUCUCGCGAAAAAGGCACAGUGUUGGCUGUGUUGAUGGUAGUGGGGGAAGAAGCGCCGGCUAACUACGUGCCAGCAGCCGCGGCAAUACGUAGGGCGCGAGCGUUGUGCGGAUUUAUUGGGCGUAAAGAGCUCGUAGGUGGUUCGUCGUGUCUGUCGUGAAAGCCCGCAGCUUAACCGUUGGUCUGCUGUGGGUUAGGGCGGGCUUGAGGGCGGUAGGGGUGACUGGAAUUCCUGGUGUAGCGGUGGAAUGCGCAGAUAUCAGGAGGAACAACGAUGGCGAAGGCAGGUCACUGGGCCGUUACUGACACUGAGGAGCGAAAGCGUGGGGAGCGAACAGG